AUUAUGUUGUUGAGUUGUGGGUCAGCUCGUCUGGUCGUGAUAUACAAUGAUAAUAACGAAGACAAUAAUAACCUGCGGUCGUUUUAAGCUCUCUGUGUGUAAUCGCGCAGAAUCUUGGGAUCUCGGACGCCGGUGAUCCAAUAAAGAAGGCUCGACCCCGUGUAAACAUGGAAGCAGAGGCCGAGGCCGAGGGUGAGGCUUGAGGGUGAGGAUUGAGGGUGAGGAUCGGUGGGCUGUGAUGUAGCGGCACGCCGUCACAACAGCAUCCAUCGCUGUCAGCGGCAGAACGCGUGUGCUCUCACUGCAAAAUCAGGCAGCACAUGGCCAGCGUGAGUGAGUCACAUUGGUCUGGUAACGAGAGCCUCCGCUCAGGGAGAGUCCCUCCAUGCGUCCUUGGGACUGGGGC
ensembl:lncRNA